rnacentral:rRNA from 1 species
UUCAACUUUGUUGAACUUUUUUCUUCAUUCUCAUGCAGUCACUUAAGGGCCGGUCUUUCUGACUUGUGCACUGGUGGUCGCAUGUGAGACUUGAGUGAAGAAGAAAAGUCUUGUUAAUGAGCUUAGGAAAUAAUAUAGAUCAAAAGCAGGUUAAAGAUGUAAUAGUCAUCACGGCCUAGGG